rnacentral:tRNA from 1 species
CGCGCCUUUUACCAGGCACCGCGCGAAUGGGGCGGCGAUGCCGCGCUGCUGGUGCUCAUUGACGUUGAUGAGCGGGAGGUGCCGCACCUCUGAGGCGCGG